UUUCGUCUGGGGGAGGGUCGGGUAGGGUCAAAACAAUCGCGUCGCUUGCUCUUGCGACGCGCUCUGGACCUUCGCGGCCGUAAAAUCCGGCGCUCACCGAAUCGCUCGCUCGGCGGUUUGCGUGUUGCGCCCGGUGGCCCCGUGGUCUUAAGCACAAGCCGCGCCGUUGUCCGUGUUCGUCUCGGGACGUCCGCGACGCCGCCUUGCUYUCGGCGGCGGCCAAAUUUCCUCUCCGUCACCGCUAUGCGGGACCCGGCUCGCUCUCGCUAACGGGCCCGCUUAUAACCAGCUUCAGGGUGACGGGCGGAGGAGAGAAGCUUACGCUGACGCUCGAUCGACGAGUCGGCGCCCGUACGAAAAAAAUUGGAAAAAAAAUAACCGUGCGUUGCGCGUUAUUUUUUUUUUCCUUUCUUUCCGACCUCAGAUCGGACGAGAUUACCCCCUGAAUUUAAGCAUAGAAAA
rnacentral:misc_RNA from 1 species